CUUCAAUCAUUGAGUUCACAGUACACCAUCAUCACCCACCUUGUUAAUUAUCCAUGAAAAAGCUUUGCUUUUGUGGUUUAGAGCACACCUUCAUUCUGUGUUUUGAAAAAUGCUCUUACCAAUAUGUAAACAUCUCGACAUCGACUUGUUUAGGCUAAUCAUUCUUCAUAGCAAGGACCAGACUCUCUCUUGCAACUGAUCAGUUCUGUCUUGGUGCAUAAAUGCUAGCUUGUAAAACAUCAACAUGCGCAUCCAAGAGUAUCGGUAUAGCUAGAAGGGGUGGAGCAUGCUACUAUUGGUCUAGGGCUCAAGAGGGUCCCGUGGAUCCAGCCGACUGCCCACUCACAGUUGAGUUCAGUGGUUAAAAGUGAUUCUCCCUUGGCAAAGCAGGCUCUAGCUUCUUUCUAGUUCCUCCUCUCCUCUCCCUUGCAUAUACUAUAUGGGCCCUUCCAGUUCUAAGAAGAUCCAAAACAUAGCAUUCGUUUUUCAUCUUAGCUGCAGGCUAAUUGUGAUUAUUUCAAAUUGAUACAUAGAUAAUCUAUGCAUCUUGUGAUAUAUAUAUAUAUGGCAUUAGACUACAAUAAGCUCCAUUGCUCUCUUAACAUAAACAAUUAUCUCCAACACAGAAUGAUUAUUUUUUUGUUAAAUUAAAACCUCUAGCGAGGACAUGACCAUAACUAAGGCACCCCUGCAACACUUUGUCUUGUUUACUUGUUUUGGCUGGCUUCCUCUAGGAAUUAUCAAAAUCCAUUAUCCUCUACAUCAAUCCAAACAUUAAAAUAACAUAGUACGUUGUGUGAUUUUCAAUUCCUUACAAAAAAUAAAAUAAAAUUAAGUAGCUAGGACAGAUGAAAUGAGUUGAUAAUACUCUUGAAACAGUUGUAUGCAAUAAAAUGCAAUCCUACGUAUGCAAUAAAAGGAAAGAGAAUCAGAGAGAGAGAGAGAGAAACCAUGCACACACGACUUGAAUUAAUUGGGAAGGGAAGAAUGAAAAGGAAGUGGUGGGUGGGAAAAUCACCUUUUCCAAGGAAAGAAAAUCCAAACAAAGUUACCUGUAAAACCCAGGUAGCUUUGGCUGUAUCUAUGGAGCUGUAUGUUACCUAAAAGCCGCUGCUGCCGCCUUCUCUACUACCUUUCUUUCUCCUGAAGAAUCUUCUUCUGUCUUCUGUCUUUCUUCUUCCUCCACAACCCCUUUAAACCCCACACCCCCCCCCCCCCCCUCCCUCUACGUGCUAUUCUUUGCUUGCAAUCAAAGCCUGAAACAAUAUUCAUGCAGACACCACACAUACAGGGAGAGAAAGAUAGAGGUAGAUUAAUGGUUGAUCUCCCAGUUAUUUGCUCAUCUUCCAGUCUUGUGUCAUAUCUUCUCUUCAAGCACUGUUAAGAUGCUCGAGACUGCUUACUACUAGCUAGAGCUAGCUACUCGGUCUGAAAGAAUGGUCUGCCUGGCUCCCUGAAUGCCAUCUAGGAAGCUUGUCAAAGAGUGUUGGCAACCUCUCUAACUGGCAUGAGGGGAGUCACGCAGGCCCAACAACAGCUUACUGCUACCCAAUAUUGAAUUCAUGAGGGAAAUGGCCAAGAAAGACCUUUUGAUUUCCUUCGAAGUCUCAUGCACGUGGGAAGCUACCUUUGAACUCGAUGCACAUUCAGUAUUUACUUCAUCAGCUAUAUGUGUAGCCUACACGUUUCUUACAGAUUCCCAGGAAGCAAGGAAGUCAAUGAUCAAGUCUUCUACCAUGAAGGGACAUGCAUCUUGAAUUUCAUCCUUUCAAUGUACAAAUUUGAACUUGAAGCUUUCUAGGAAAAACUAAUUCCAAGUCUUAAUUGUUUUGACAUUCGGAUGGAGACAUUUAGCAGUAAAAUCAACAAUUCGAUGAAUAGUAGAGAGAGAUUGGAACGAUAUGGAUAGGUGAUUGAUGAUAACAUUGGAGCAAACAGUAUAGUAGGAAGACCAAAUCAAAAUGAUAAAUGAGCGUCCAUACAUUGAGAAGAAGGCGUCAAGCAGUCACAUGGACAUGCAUGAUCGAUGUGUAUUUAAUGUUUAAGGUAGACCUCCCCUUUCUGUGACAUUUUUACGUGCCCUUUCUAAAUAUUAUUCUACCUCUUAUAUAUGUAUAUAUAAACUUGUAUAUGAAGUUUGAAAAUGGACAGCAAAAUAAUCACCUCCCUCUUCCUCUCUCCCUCCCUCCCUCUAUACGUAUAGGUUUAUCAUAACUCAUAGAGACCAAGCUUUGAAUUAUUUCUUCGCAAUUUGGAAUUUCUUAAUUUGUUCUAUCCAUAACAAGGAGUGUGAUCAGAAGAUGACGAAGCAAAAAAUAGUGCUCAAGGUACAGAUGAAUUGCGAGAAAUGCAGGACUAAGGCACUCAAGGUUGUGGCAGAUGCGGAUGGUAACUAAGUGACUCAGUACUGUUGAAUUGCUUCCAAAUUAAAGGGGUGUGAGUUUUAUGGGAUUAGAAGGUGAGAAGAAAGAAGAUAUUGUGGUGGUGAUUGGAGAAGGAGUUGAUGCUGCCAAGUUAGCCAGCAGCUUAAGGAAGAAAGUUGGGCAUACUGACAUUGUCUCAGUGUUGCAGUAUUAGUGGAUAAGAAGUAGACAAGGCCCCCUUCCAAUCUUGUUUGUUUGUGGUUUAGCCUUCUCCAAAGAAGAUUGCUAAUCUCUGUUUUAUUGGAUCUUGUAUGGUGUCAAGAGUACUUGUGAUAUAUUAUUAUAGAGUUAACAUUGAUAAAUUACAAACAGUAGAAUAUUAGUAAAUCAAAAGGGCUAAAACGUAGUUAAAGCUA